AUGCAAAUCGCUGGGGGAUCGUGUUAAAAUGCGGGUUCUGAAGCAGUAGGUUUGGGACGGGCCUGAGAUUCUGCAUUUCUAACAAGCUCCCAGGUGAUACUGAU
rnacentral:pre_miRNA from 1 species